rnacentral:tRNA from 1 species
AGCAGAGUGGCCUAGUUGGUAAAGCAGGGGCCGGGGAGCCAGACGACCUGGGUUCUAAUCCCGGCUCUACUG